rnacentral:lncRNA from 1 species
GUUCUGUCUGUCUAACCACACUGACAUGUACUGCUCUCUGGGUGAGGUUCUGUCUGUCUAACACACUGACAUGUACAGCUCUCUGGGUGAGGUUCUGUCUGUCUAACCACACUGACAUGUACAGCUCUCUGGGUGAGGUUCUGUCUGUCUAACCACACUGACAUGUACAGCUCUCUGGGUGAGGUUCUGUCUGUCUAACCACACUGACAUGUACAGCUCUCUGGGUGAAGUUCUGUCUGUCUAACCACACUGACAUGUACAGCUCUCUGGGUGAGGUUCUGUCUGUCUAACCACACUGACAUGCACAGUUCUCUGGGUGAUGUUCUGUCUGUCUAACCACACUGACAUGUACAGCUCUCUGGGUGAUGUUCUGUCUGUCUAACCGCAC